UUCGAUGCAACGCGAAGAACUUACCUGGUCUUGACAUCCCGGAGACCCUUAGGAAACUAGGGGUGCUUCCAUCUGGAGAAUCUGGAGACAGGUGCUGCAUGGCUGUCGUCAGCUCGUGUCGUGAGAUGUUGGGUUAAGUCCCGCAACGAGCGCAACCCUUGCCUUUAGUUGCCAGCAGUUCGGCUGGGCACUCUAAAGGGACUGCCGGUGUUAAACCGGAGGAAGGUGGGGAUGACGUCAAGUCCUCAUGGCCUUUAUGACCAGGGCUACACACGUACUACAAUGGCCGAUACAAAGGGCAGCGACACUGCGAGGUGAAGCCAAUCCCGUAAAAUCGGUCUCAGUCCGGAUUGGAGUCUGCAACUCGACUCCAUGAAGUUGGAAUCGCUAGUAAUCGUGGAUCAGCAUGCCACGGUGAAUACGUUCCCGGGCCUU
rnacentral:rRNA from 1 species